rnacentral:rRNA from 1 species
UAGGGAAUCUUCGGCAAUGGACGAAAGUCUGACCGAGCAACGCCGCGAGAGUGAAGAAGGUUUUCGGAGCGUAAAACUCUGUUGUUAGAGAAGAACAAGGACGGUAGUAACUGAACGUCCCCUGACGGUAGCUAACCAGAAAGCCACGGCUAACUACGUGCCAGCAGCCGCGGUAAUACGUAGGUGGCAAGCGUUGUCCGGAUUUAUUGGGCGUAAAGCGAGCGCAGGCGGUUUCUUAAGUCUGAUGUGAAAGCCCCCGGCUCAACCGGGGAGGGUCAUUGGAAACUGGGAGACUUGAGUGCAGAAGAGGAGAGUGGAAUUCCAUGUGUAGCGGUGAAAUGCGUAGAUAUAUGGAGGAACACCAGUGGCGAAGGCGGCGCUCUGGUCUGUAACUGACGCUGAGGCUCGAAAGCGUGGGGAGCAAACAGG